rnacentral:rRNA from 1 species
CGAACGGGUGAGUAAUAUAUCGGAACGUGCCCAGUCGUGGGGGAUAACGCAGCGAAAGCUGUGCUAAUACCGCAUACGAUCUAUGGAUGAAAGCGGGGGAUCGCAAGACCUCGCGCGAUUGGAGCGGCCGAUAUCAGAUUAGCUAGUUGGUGGGGUAAAGGCCCACCAAGGCGACGAUCUGUAGCUGGUCUGAGAGGACGACCAGCCACACUGGAACUGAGACACGGUCCAGACUCCUACGGGAGGCAGCAGUGGGGAAUUUUGGACAAUGGGCGCAAGCCUGAUCCAGCAAUGCCGCGUGCAGGAUGAAGGCCUUCGGGUUGUAAACUGCUUUUGUACGGAACGAAACGGUCUCUUCUAAUAAAGGAGGCUAAUGACGGUACCGUAAGAAUAAGCACCGGCUAACUACGUGCCAGCAGCCGCGGUAAUACGUAGGGUGCGAGCGUUAAUCGGAAUUACUGGGCGUAAAGCGUGCGCAGGCGGUUAUAUAAGACAGAUGUGAAAUCCCCGGGCUCAACCUGGGACCUGCAUUUGUGACUGUAUAGCUAGAGUACGGUAGAGGGGGAUGGAAUUCCGCGUGUAGCAGUGAAAUGCGUAGAUAUGCGGAGGAACACCGAUGGCGAAGGCAAUCCCCUGGACCUGUACUGACGCUCAUGCACGAAAGCGUGGGGAGCAAACAGGAUUAGAUACCCUGGUAGUCCACGCCCUAAACGAUGUCAACUGGUUGUUGGGUCUUCNCUGACUCAGUAACGAAGCUACGCGUGAAUUGACCCCCUGGGGAGUACGNCCNCANGUUGAACUCAAGGAAUUGACGGG